CCAGUUCCAGUAGCACUGAAAUUAUUUUUUUAUUCCAACCAGCUCCAGUAGGAUGUAGUUUUAUUCCAACCAGCUCCAGUAGGUUGUAGUUUUAUUCCAACCAGCUCCAGUAGGUUGUAGUUUAAUUCCAACCAUCUCCAGUAGGUUGUAGUUUAAUUCCAACCAGUUCCAGUAGGUUGUAGUUUAAUUCCAACCAGUUCCAGUAGGUUGUAGUUUAAUUCCAACCAUCUCCAGUAGGUUGUAGUUUAAUUCCAACCAUCUCCAGUAGGUUGUAGUUUAAUUCCAACCAUCUCCAGUAGGUUGUAGUUUAAUUCCAACCAUCUCCAAUAGGAUGUAGUUUAAUUCCAACCAGUUCCAGUAGGUUGUAGUUUAAUUCCAACCAGUUCCAGUAGGUUGUAGUUUAAUUCCAACCAGUUCCAGUAGGUUGUAGUUUAAUUCCAACCAUCUCCAGUAGGUUGUAGUUUUAUUUUACCUGCAAUAUUUUCCUAUCUGUUAUUGUAUAACAUUUACAGUCAUUCUAAUUGAUAUUUUAGAUCAAAUGAUGUUGGUAAUAAUGAGCCACUAUCCUUGUGGAAGUCAAUAGACUUCAAAUGAAAUUGAAUACAGGCCCGCUCCUAAAAACACCAGGUUUGAAUCAUGUAUUGUAAAUGGUGCAUAUCAAAUGUUUACAAUAGUGUAUUCUUCUUCCUUGUUUUAUUUCAUACAUGCUGGCUUUAAGACACUGUUCCCUCACUAUAUGGUCAGAUGAACCAAACACAACACAUGUCACUGUCCCAAGUAUGUACUACAGCCACCAUUACUACCCUCAAUGAGGUGACUUGUAUACAUGCAAUGGUUUUUAGUUCUGGACUUUGGUGUCUUUCGCCUAAACCUCAGAUCUGUUGAAUCUGCGCUACAAUCUUGUCCUGCGGUCAUAUUCCUCCAAACGUAAACACAAUAGACACUAUGUACCUGUGUAUGAUUCAACAUGUCCCGAUAUUUGUAUUUUAUUUUCAAAUGAAAAUCAUUAUAUUCUUAUCUGUUUCUUCUAAGAGUCAGUUGGAUUGGAAGGGAAUAUCAGUGAUGGAGGUAACCAAUAUGUGUAUUGUGUAAGAAUAGUGUAUGACCAUCAAUGUACUUGUCAUUCUACAUGUAACGUUACAACAACCUGCCUGCCUACACUAAGGAGACAUAUCUGUAUAUAUUAAUCAAUACUAUUUUUACUGCAUUUUUGUACAAAUAUUCAUGGUAGCCAUGUACAAGUAGUUCAAAUGAUUCUAUGGUAGUAUUAAAAUAGUUUGGUUUUAA